AAACAAUUAAUAAAUUUAAGAAGACUCUCCACCUUCCCUAACAAUACUACAAAUAAUGCUAGGUUAAAGCGACGAAUGAAAAUGGUGGUAAGGAGAGGAGGAGCGCAAAUUAUGUGUCUUCAAGACCUACUUGACAAACUUCAAGCUCAAGAUCAGCGUCUGCGAACAUUGUGUCAGUUCCGACAAGCUAGGUUUCGAAGGAAACAAUUAAUUAAUUUAAGAAGAGUCUCCACCUUCCCAAACAAUACUACAAAUAAUGGUAUUUAGUUACUGUUAUUCUAUUUUGUUCUUAUGAUUUAAAUUUAAAGAUGCCUUGAUUUUCUAUUUC